AUUGAACGCUGGCGGCAGGCCUAACACAUGCAAGUCGAGCGGAGCGGCGGACGGGUGCGUAAUGCCUAGGAAUCUGCCUGGUAGUGGGGGAUGACGUCCGGAAACGGACGCUAAUACCGAAUACUAUCGCCUUCGGCUGGGUCGGAUUAGCUUGUGGGAGGGGUAAAGGCCUACCAAGGCGACGAUCCGUAACUGGUCUGAGAGGAUGAUCAGUCACACUGGAACUGAGACACGGUCCAGACUCCUACGGGAGGCAGCAGUGGGGAAUAUUGGACAAUGGGCGAAAGCCUGAUCCAGCCAUGCCGCGUGUGUGAAGAAGGUCUUCGGAUUGUAAAGCACUUUAAGUUGGGAGGCGUUACCAACAGAAUAAGCACCGGCUAACUCCGUGCCAGCAGCCGCGGUAAUAC
rnacentral:rRNA from 1 species